GACGAACGCUGGCGGCGUGCCUAACACAUGCAAGUCGAGCGAAUGAAAUUCCUUCGGGAACGGAUUUAGCGGCGGACGGGUGAGUAACACGUGGGCAACCUGCCUCAUAGAGGGGAAUAGCCUUCCGAAAGGGAGAUUAAUACCGCAUAAGAUUGUAGUACCGCAUGGUACAGCAAUUAAAGGAGCAAUCCGCUAUGAGAUGGGCCCGCGGGGCAUUAGGUAGUUGGUGAGGUAACGGCUCACCAAGGAGACGAUGCGUAGCCGACCUGAGAGGGUAAUCGGCCACAGUGGGACUGAGACAGGGCCCAGACUCCUACGGGAGGCAGCAGUGGGGAAUAUUGCACAAUGGGGGAAACCCUGAUGCAGCAACGCCGCGUGAGUGAUGACGGCCUUCGGGUUGUAAAGCUCUGUCUUCAGGGACGAUAAUGACGGUACCUGAGGAGGAAGCCACGGCUAACUACGUGCCAGCCGCCGCGGUAA
rnacentral:rRNA from 1 species